UAUCACUUGCCAAUUUUUUUUUAGGUUUUAAAGAAAACUAGCAUCACCAAAAAAAAUAAAAUUAAACUAAACACAAGUAAUAGAUUUUCAGUGUUUUAUUCAAUGGUGUAAAUUCCAGAGUAGUGCCAGUUCUACUUUAAGCAAAUAAAACUGAAUGCUCCAGCAACUGAGAAAUGCCUAAAAGGGACAUUCCAGGCUGUAGCUUUCUAGACAACAUAUUUAAAAAUAAAUAAAAAUAAAGCACAUACCCAGCCUUCCUCUUCCCCCAAUAGGAUGAAGUGAAGGUUAAUCCAGACAUGGAAUCCCUUGCUCACUGUGUUCAGAGGGGUACAACUCACACCUCACUAAAAAGGCCCAGAAAGGCCAAAACCAUCAUGUCUGGGUUGUUGCAUUUCUCGUGUAGAGGGAACUUGCAAGCAUUUUGGAUCUGGACUGCCCUUCUAAAUGAAUCACAGUGCAAUAUGCAGAUCAUUCUGUUCUCUAUAGAAUAACACAAGUGAGCUAAAACUAGUUUGAGACCUGAACAGGGAGUCACUAAAAAGGCAAGCUAUUCAGUGUUCUGAGAGCAGGCUUUCAGGAUAAGAAAAUGGCUUACAUUUUUGGGUUUAAAUAAAUAACACUUAAGAAUGAUGACACAGAUGCUCAAGUCCUACAGAAAGUUAAGAAACAGGGGCUAUAGUAACGGCUACAUACUUUAAGGGAUAUUUCAGUAUUUACAUAACGCACUGGAACAGGGGUAGGCAUUAUUCAGCAUUGCCAAUUAUGAUGUUCCAACUGUCUGAGCCAAGUCUUUUAAGUAAUAAUUUAUAGGCAUUGAAUCAGUUGACCUGCACAGACACCAUCAACUUUUUACUGAAUUCGUGACAUUACAUACAUCAGUAUGUCUGUAGCAUGAAUGGAAACACUGCAAGUGUAAAAACACCCACCACAACUAACCUACAUACUUCACAUAAAGUGGUGGUGCUUGGCUUGCGCUAUUAAGCAGAAGACAAAUAUUUUGUUUAUACCAAGUCUACAAAAAUAUGAGCAGGUAAAUCUUAUGAGUUUUUAAAUCUGAGCUGGGUCAAAACAUCAGAUUAAUGGUUUCUGAUUACAAAACCAAAAGUAACUCACAUUUAGCAUGCUUAGACAGGAUUGCAGAUGGUGUAGUACUUCUUGCAAUUCCAGUUCAAGUAUUGCAAUCCAGCUUGAAUGAGAUAAUGUCUAUAUAUUCGAUAUUAAUAAAAAAAAGUUUUGUAGAUUCAUCACAAAAUGAUUCUUACUAAUGUGAUCACAUUAGAAGCCAAUGGCUCAAAGAUAAACUGGAAUAAAUUACAC